CACAGGCAGAUCACCACAAUCCAGGCAGAGUGUUGUAGGGGUGCUGAGAAGGGAUUCUUGACACCCAUGCCAAUAUGCUGCAGCGUCAUCUUGCGUGCAUAAUACACUAGUGUUGCCGGCACAAUGUACUGCAACAACAAAGAACAAAGCCUAUACUCACCUGAAUGAAGGAGCCUGCAUAUGCCCCAGUGAUCCCCACCAAGAUCUCCACAUCAGAGGUGGCAAGUCCCACCAGUGUUGGGGGAAUGAUGGCCAGCAGUGGAAACAGACAGCGAGAAGUGAAGAAGGAGUAACGGCGAUUUUCCCUUAGACACAGGCUCUUAAGGUUAUUUCUGAGCGUAAUGGCGAUGAUGGGGAAGUUAGUGCUCAGGGUGAAGACAGGGAACAUGAGCAAGAAUACCUGAGGAUGGACAGAGAAAAAGGAGGCAUGAACACUUGGGAAUAGACAGGAGGGAGGCAUGAACACUUGGCAAUGGGCAAAGAAAAAGAGAGAGAGAAACACUUUGGAAUGGGCAGAAAAAAUAAUGAAAACAUGAACAAUGGGGAACAGGGAGAAAACAGACACAGAAAGAGAUAAUAGCAGUUCCUACAUAUAAGUUACAAUAAAACACUUUUCUGGUGAAACAUAGUGAACUUAAGAAAGAGCUAUGUGAUAUCUUACUUCAGAUCUUGCAGAAAAGAUAACUGCAUCUUUCAAUAUAUUUCAAUCUAUCUGUCUGGAACAGACAACUAUACACAAAAUCAUGCCUCUGAAUUUAAGAAAAAAUAAACAACAAAGUAAUAUUUUGGGUUGACAUUUAAGGAAGAGAAAGCACCUGUAGACAGUAGACAACAAUGGAAGUUUCACUGCCAGUUUUGCAUCGAUCAGGUUGAAAGUUGAGGGUGUAGAGAUCCUCCAAGUGAGCAAAGGUAAAGAUCCCAGUGAAGGCCAACAGGUAGUAGAACAUCAGGAUAAGAAGAUAAUCUGCUGCCAACAGCUGUAAUAAAAGAACAUUGGUUUCAUCAUAGUAUCUGGAUAUUUAAAUAUAAUAACCUUCCCUGAAAAGCUGACUUUUUUAUAAGACUCCUUACUAACCUGUCACUGAUCAUCCUUGCUCAGACAAGUUCAAGGAAAUAUGCUUGUUCAGAGAGUGGCAUACUGUCUUGAACAUACCACACUCAGAAUCAAGGCCAGAUAUGUACUGUGGAAUGGAAUUUUUUUGUUCUUUUUUUGUUUUAACUAGCAUUUUGGAAAUGCAAUAUUUUUGGUAUAACUUAUGAUCUACCUGCAAAUUACAUACAAGUUUGAGAUAGUGUAUAUCACCUUACAGAUUUCUCCAUACAAGAUUUGAUUUUUUUUUAUCAUAAAUACAAUAAAGAUAAGUAAUUGUGCAUAAAUAAUGUUCUUGGAGACAAUAAAAUACUAAUACAAAUUGA